GCUCCUAUAGCUCAGUUGGUAGAGCGCGACACUAGUAAUGUCGAGGUCUACGGUUCAAAUCCGUAUGGGAGCA
rfam:Arthrobotrys oligospora ATCC 24927 unplaced genomic scaffold scaffold00076, whole genome shotgun sequence.